rnacentral:rRNA from 1 species
ACGAAGGGUGCAAGCGUUACUCGGAAUUACUGGGCGUAAAGCGUGCGUAGGUGGUUUGUUAAGUCUGAUGUGAAAGCCCUGGGCUCAACCUGGGAAUGGCACUGGAUACUGGCAAGCUAGAGUGUGGCAGAGGGUAGUGGAAUUCCUGGUGUAGCAGUGAAAUGCGUAGAGAUCAGGAGGAACAUCCGUGGCGAAGGCGACUGCCUGGGCCAACACUGACACUGAGGCACGAAAGCGUGGGGAGCAAACAGGA